rnacentral:misc_RNA from 1 species
GAUGAAGAACGUAGCGAAAUGCGAUAAGUAGUGUGAAUUGCAGAAUUUAGUGAAUCAUCGAAUCCUUGAACGCACAUUGCGCCCUUUGGUAUUCCUUAGGGCAUGCCUGUUCGAGCGUCAUCUACACCCUCAAGCACAGCUUGGUGAUGGGCGCCUGUCCCGCCCCCCACGGGGGCGCGGACUCGCCUCAAAUGCAUUGGCGGCCGGCGACCUGGCUUCGAGCGCAGCAGAAACGCGUACUCGGGGACCGGGCGCCCGCUCCCAGAAGCCAACCCACCCAGUUUGACCUCGGAUCAGGUAGGGAUACCCGCUGAACUUAAGCAUAUCAAUAAGCGGAGGA